rnacentral:rRNA from 1 species
CCCUUAGAUGUUCUGGGCCGCACGCGUGCUACACUGAGUGGAUCGGCGGGUCAGGUUGCGCGAAAGCGUUUCCUAAUCUUUAAAUCCGCUCGUGAUGGGGAUUGACGGUUGCAAUUUUCUGUCAUGAACGAGGAAUACCUUGUAAGCGCGGGUCAUCAUCCCGCGCUGAAUACGUCCCUGCCCUUUGUACACACCGCCCGUCGCUCCUACCGAUUGAGUGGUCCGGUGAGGCUUUGGGAUCUGAGCGGAAAGAGCGUUUCGCUGUUUCUGCUCGGAAAACUCAGUCGAACCUUAUCAUUUAGAGGAAGGAGAAGUCGUAACA